rnacentral:rRNA from 1 species
UACGUAGGGUGCAAGCGUUAUCCGGAUUUAUUGGGCGUAAAGGGCUCGUAGGCGGUACGUCGCGUCCGGUGUGAAAGUCCAUCGCUUAACGGUGGAUCCGCGCCGGGUACGGGCGGGCUUGAGUGCGGUAGGGGAGACUGGAAUUCCCGGUGUAACGGUGGAAUGUGUAGAUAUCGGGAAGAACACCAAUGGCGAAGGCAGGUCUCUGGGCCGUUACUGACGCUGAGGAGCGAAAGCGUGGGGAGCGAACAGG